UAAAUUAAAUAAAAAGAAAAGAAUUCUUUCUCCCUCUGUCUCGAUUGUCUCUAGCUUCGUGGUGGUGUGUGCGUAGGGUUCAUUCGCUCGGUGGCAUCAGGAGUUAGGACAUGACAGCUCCGAGCUCGUUUUUUUAAGCAGAGUGCGGCCGAGCAUGGUGCCGUCGCGGCAAAAAUGGCCAUGGCGGAUUCGUUCACAGUCGUGGUUGAUGUGUCGGCCGGAGUGGUGGUGGGCGGUCAACUGGGACGAGAUAUAUAUCUGCAUCUGCUGCUACUUGCCUAGAGUACUUGUGCACUGUGAAGGAAGGUGCGGGUUUGCUUGGUCCUCUACUCCUGCUCCCGCCAAGAAGUGGACCGGAGAUUCCAGGUGUCAGUGUUGAACUGAAUUGGCGUUGGAGUACUGGACUGGAUCACAGUGACAGUGUCGUGCCUGCUGACCUGCUACCGAGCCACGCGUCGGCCAUGCAAGGUGUCAGGCAGGCACACAUACGUAGUACGGCGAGACUAGUUUCCGCGAAGCUACCGAAGAAUGGGUUACCAGCCUGACUACUACUACUCUGGAUAUGGACGAAUUCACGGUUUAAGGAAAACGAAAGGCUGAUAGAAAUAGGUUGUGACUGGUGAAGAAUGGACCGGCCGAAAUAUUAUGUUCAAAAUUCACUUGGUUUUCUUUUUGUGAGGAUGGUUGAGUACUUGAGUUUAGCUGCCCAAUCAUGCUUGCGUGUGUUAGGAACUACUAAGCAGUCAGAAGUUUACUCGACGAGGAUA